rnacentral:rRNA from 1 species
GACGAACGCUGGCGGCGUGCUUAACACAUGCAAGUCGAACGGAAAGGCCUGCUUUCCCUUGUGGAUUGCGGGUACUCGAGUGGCGAACGGGUGAGUAACACGUGAGUGAUCUGCCCCCAACUUGGGUAUAAGCCUGGGAAACUGGGUCUAAUUCCCGAUAGGACUGCAGGGUGGUGCCUGUGGUGGAAAACGAUUUUCUAGUGGUUGGGGAUGAGCUCGCGGCCUAUCAGCUUGUUGGUGGGGUAAUGGCCUACCAAGGCGGCGACGGGUAGCCGGCCUGGGAGGGGGGACGGCACAAUUGGAAUGGGGAUAGGGCCCGAGACCAGGCGGGGGGGAGCAUUGGGAAAAAUUGCCCAAAAGGGGGAAGCCGGAAGAAGGAGGGCCGGGUGGGGGAUGACGGCCUUGGGUGUGUAAACUCCUUGGACCCGCGGGGAGGCCACCUGGUGGGAAGGGUGGGAAGGGAAGUAAUAAAAAAGGCCCCGGAUAACUAGGU